rnacentral:rRNA from 1 species
GACGAACGCUGGCGGCGUGCUUAACACAUGCAAGUCGAACGAUGAUCUGAGAGCUUGCUCUUGGGGAUUAGUGGCGAACGGGUGAGUAACACGUGAGUAACCUGCCCUGGACUCUGGGAUAACCCCGAGAAAUCGGAGCUAAUACCGGAUAGGACCUUGCACCGCAUGGUGUGGGGUGGAAAGUUUUUUCGGUUUGGGAUGGACUCGCGGCCUAUCCGCUUGUUGGUGAGGUAAUGGCUCACCAAGGCGUCGACGGGUAGCCGGCCUGAGAGGGUGACCGGCCACACUGGGACUGAGACACGGCCCAGACUCCUACGGGAGGCAGCAGUGGGGAAUAUUGCACAAUGGGCGCAAGCCUGAUGCAGCAACGCCGCGUGCGGGAUGACGGCCUUCGGGUUGUAAACCGCUUUUAGUAAGGAAGAAGGGGAGCUUGCUCCUUGACGGUACUUGCAGAAAAAGGACCGGCUAACUACGUGCCAGCCGCCGCAGUAAAAC